GUGCUGGAUGGAUGAUUUUGGGGGUUUGUUUGCGUGCGUGAAAAUUGAUAAGAAUGUGCAGAGGGAGAAGCAGCUACAAGAAGUCAGCAACCUAAUAUUAAUAUCAGAUGACUCAAUGAGGUAAGUUACAAGAUCAUGAUUCCCCAGUCGUUUGGUAAGUUUAUUAGUCCUAAAUUACAUAAAUUAUAUUAGUGAAAUUGAAGAUUAUGAAAUAUGAAAUAUGAACUCUGAACUACUGCUGUGUGUAUACUACUCUUCUUUUUGGAAAUAAAUAACGAUUAGAUUUUUAAACGUUUGGAUGAUGAAUGCAUCUGCAAAGAUGCUUAUUUCAUAUUUUUAGCAUCAUCGAUGAUCGAUCGAUCCUUCUGUUGUCUCAUUGAACAGGAGGCCUAGCUAGGGAGAAAUUUGUUUUCUUUUUAUUUGUUUAUGUAGGAGUACAUGCUAUCAUUGUGAUGACAAUAAUCGGCUAUGAUAUGAUGAUGGAUUUUUCUAUCCAUGAUAAUAAUUAACCCAUACCUUAUUGACCGGUUUCGCCUUAAAGUCUUAGUUGUAUAAAAAAUUAGGAUAAAUAUUUAAAUUGACAUGAAAAUGCUAUGAAUGGGAGUAGCAUGUAACUUUUAAGUUCACAUGACAUAUACACUUCUGGUGAAAUAUUUUGCUUAGGUACCAAAUUAAUCUGUACUUGAAUGAAUUCGGAUGGCAUGUCCAGUUAAUUAGGUAUUUAUAAACCAAUAAACCUGUUAUUGGAUGCCAUGUAAACCUUUGGGUACCCAAUGGAUUUCAGCAAUCGACAAACACAUCACUGAUCUGUUGUAUUUUUGUGGCCAAGGAAAAAACAAAUUAUCCCCACCCUACCCCCAUCCCUCAAAUUAUGAAUGACUUUAAUAAUAAGCGAGGACAUCAAUGAGGUGAAAUUGGAGUCGAAGUCGGGGGAAACUUAUUCUUCAUUCGUCGUCGUUGUAACCGAAGUGUCGCUGCCUAAAGCAAAGACGUUAAGCGGGACCCAAGCACCAGGGUUUCGUACGCCUCUUGGUAUCAAAGUGGCAAGUCGAUGAGGGAACUCAUGGGCUGGUNGGGGGGGGGGGGGGGGAAGCAUGUCUUCUGCUUUCACAUUGUCAGAGAGGGGAAAAGGCCAAUGGACUUGACUGACCUUGGGUACCCAAUGGACUUCAGGAAUCGACAAACAUAUCGCUGACCUGUUGUAUUUUGUGGCCAAGGAAAAAACAAACUAUACCCGCCCCACCCCCACCUCGCCGCCACCCCUCAAAUUAUGAAUGACUUUAAUUAUAAGCGAGGACGCCGAUGAGGUGAAGUUGGAGUCGGAGUCGGGGGAAACUUAUUCUCCAUCCGUCGCCGCUUCAACCGAAGUGUCACUACCUAAAGCAAAAACGUUAAGUGGGACCGAAGCACCAGGGUUUCGUAUGCCUCUUGGUAUCAAAGUGGCAAGCCGACAAGGGAACAAAUGGGUUCGUCACCGUUGAUAAACGAUGGGAAACAUGUCUUCUCCUUUCACAUUGGCAGAGAAGGGAAAAAAGUCCAAUGGACUUCACUGACCUUGGCAUCCCAAUGGACUUCAGCAAUCGACAAACACAUCACUGGCCUGUUGUAUUUUUCUGGCCAAGGAAAAAAAUUAUCCCCACCCCACCUCCACCUCGCUGCCACCAAUCAAAUUAUGAAUGACUUUAAUUAUAAGCGAGGAUGACAAUGAGGUGAAGUUGGAGUCGGAGUCAGAGUCGGGAGAAACUUAUUCUCAUCCGUCGCCACUGCAACCGAAGUGUCGCUGCCUAAAGCAAAGAUGUUACGUGGGACCCAAGCACCAGGGUUUCGUAUGCCUCUCGGUAUCAAUGUGGCAUGUUGAUGGAGGAACUCAUGGGCUGGUCACCGAUGAUAGACGGUGGGGAAACAUGUCUUAUCCUUUCACAUUGUCAGAGAGUGGGAAAAUGUCAAUGGACUUCACUGACCUUGGGUAACUAAUGGACUUCAGCAAUCGACAAACACAUCAGUGACCUCUUAUAUUUUUGUGGCCAAGGAGAAAACAAACUAUACCCACCCCCACCUCGCCGCCACCCCUCAAAUUAUGAACGACUUUAAUUAUAAGCUAGGACGCCGAUGAGGUGAAGUUGGAGUCGGAGUCGGGGAAAACUUAUUCUCCAUCCGUCGCCGCUGCAACCGAAGUGUCACUUCAAAUACGUUAAGCGGGACCGAAGCACGAGGGUUUCGUACGCCUCUCGAUAUCAAAGUGGCAAGUCGAUGAGGGAACUCAUGGGCUGGUCACCAUUGAGAAAUGGUGGGGAAACAUGUCUUCUCCUUUCACAUUGUCAGAGAGGGGAAAAAAGGCCAAUGGACUUCCCUGACCUUAGGUACCCAAUGGACUUCAGCAAUCGAUACACACUCACAUGUAACGUAUUUGUUGUUUAUAAUUCUUCAGCUCAGGGUGAUACAGCGUAGGAGCUGCAUGUAUCACCCGGCUAAGCAGAGCUAGGAUUUUUGGGCAUGCAAUUGUUGGUGAACUCUGGCAAUCUUUGAGAUCUAUUAACAACCAAAAGAGAGAACUAGCAAGCUGGAGAUUUGACCAUCUAAAUUCAUUGUGCUAAUUUAAGUAGUUCUUAGCUAUCAUCUAACACAACCAUUACAAGAUUUAUUGAUAUAGUCCAUUGUUUGCUUUUCGUUUUUUGGCAAAUGGAGCAGAUUAUGAAAUCACAUAUUUCAAUUACUUUUUGGUCUGUCAGCUUGAGUAGUAAUUCUUUAUAGUGUCCGAGUUGUUAUUUCAUAUAGGCUACCUUGCUAUGGUGUAAGGGACUAUAAGAUAUUUCAUAUAGGAGGUCGAGCCUAAAAAAGGUACAAUCAUGUUAAUCAAUCUGUCAUGAUAUUUUUCCUGCUUCAAAAUGCUCCCUGGGGUGUUAGUUAACAAUCCUCUGAAUAUUGAUUUUCUGUUACAUAAUUUGUUCAUUUGUGCAGGCUUUCAUUCAUGAUGGGCCGACCUUGAAGUCUUAAUGAUUACCCUUUCCAACAUGCAACACUCGCGAUGUGGUGCUUAAUCCUGCUAAUUUUUUGUCUAUUAAUUUUUAUGUUUUUUUCACCUUAGAUAUUGUAUUAAUUUCGGUUGGGUUCUAACUAGAUAUGCACAUAAAUAACUUGGUUCUGGGUAUCAUAAAACAAAUAAGGCACAAACCUAGAAGGUUAUUGAUUAUAUGCUGCAACCCAUUUAUUUAAGCUGGUUUUCUUGACACCAUUUUCUAUUGCAGGCUGUUGAAUAUAUACAGUUUUUGCAAGAGAACGAACAGAGUGUGGUUGGGUGAGGUCUGGAUACAACAUCUUACUUUUUGUUUGUUUCCACAAUGACUUUUUCUUUUACUUCCUGCUUUGAUCAAUUUGGAACUAGCCUUGUAGAUCGGAAUAAUUGAAAAUUGAUGUGUAAUAUUAGGUCUGUGAUUGCAGUGUGUAAAAUUGGCCUAUUUAUUCGAUUCUUGUCAUAUGAAAUGUGUAUUUUUUUACCCUGAAUGUGUAUUUUUUAUUCUUAGAUGCCCUUAUGAAUCAGGACCAUCGACC
rnacentral:lncRNA from 1 species